GAAAUGCGAUAAGUAGUGUGAAUUGCAGAAUUCAGUGAAUCAUCGAAUCUUUGAACGCACAUUGCGCCCUUUGGUAUUCCUUAGGGCAUGCCUGUUCGAGCGUCAUUUACACCUUCAAGCUCUGCUUGGUGUUGGGCGUCUGUCCUGUCCCCCUCGGGGGUGUGGACUCGCCUUAAAUCUAUUGGCGGCCGGUACCGUGGCUUUGAGCGCAGCACAUCAGCGAACCUCAUCGCCGGAGCGUAUCGGCUCCCAGAAGCCCAUUUCUCAUGUUUUGACCUCGGAUCAGGUAGGGAUACCCGCUGAACUUAA
rnacentral:misc_RNA from 1 species